AUUGAACGAUGUAUAACUUCAUUUGACAUUUCAUUGCCCCAAACCCAAAUUUAUAUAAACUUUACAAAUAGACUGAAUGGGAUACAUAAUAGGGAAAAGGAAUAGAAAUAAUAUGUCCAAUGCAGGAGUAUGAUCCUAAAUUAUGCUUCCAAGAAAGAUUUUUUGUUCUUGAAAUUCUUGUUGUCUCCGGAUACCAACUCCUUUGGAUGAACUAGUAGCUUGUAAAGUUAUUUCAUCCAACUAGAAUUAUCUAUAUCUACACUCUACCCCAAGGGACAAUGAUUUUUUUCAAACAAUGUAAACGUCCAUUACAAAAAAAUGGUUAAUCACUGGGGGUUUUAUUGCAGAGGUUCUAUUAACCUCCAUGAAUUAUAUCAAAUUGUGGCAGUUUUAUCUAACCUCCGUAAUUUCUAUGUUAUUUGUGGGAGGUUAACCCCCAAACUUGAGUUUGUUAACUCCAAUUAAACUUGUCGAAAAUUCCAAUAGGCACCUAUAUUUUUAUUUUCUUCUAGAACUAGGAAUCCUCCGGUUCAUUCUGCUACAUGGCGAUCUACAAAAGUCACCGUUAUUGUUCUCUGGCAUUGACUCCAUCGACGUUUUCUAACCUCGAUUCCGUCGUCAUUCUCUAGCCUCAACUUCACAUCGUUCUCUAGCCUCGACUCUGCCCUCAUUCUCUAGCCUCCACUCCGCUGGUGUUCUCUAGCCUCCACUCCGCCCUCUCCACUUGCCUAUUUCAUUGUAUGCCUAUCUCAUCGAACCUUACAAAAUUUAACAAUGUCACUCCUUUCUACUAGAGCUAUUCAUGAAACUCUAGACAGAAUCUCAAAUUGAGGUGCCGAGUGUUCCUGGCAGAUGCUAUUGAAGCAUCGACAAAUCUGGAUUUGUUUUCGUGGUUCUGGAUUUCGCAGUGUGCAAAAAUAUCUGAACUUUCUGCUAUACCUAAUAAUAUUGUAAUGUUGCUCAAAGUCACUUCAUCUUUUAUUUUUCCUUUUAUCAUAUGAAUUUCUCUUAUUUUAUUUUUCAUUAGGUGCUUUGUCCUGUAUGUGGACCAAUUUGAUUAUGGGUGCCUCUGUCAAAAGUAUACAGAAAACCAACCCUUUGUAAAUCCUGGUAAAGUAUACAGAAAAGCAAUCCUUCCACAAAAAUAUAUUGCGGAGAAGACAUGAACUGUGAUCAAUGUAUUUAAAAUAUUGUGUCAUAAAUUCCUCUCUUUUGUGUUUUCCUAGGAUAAGACAUGCACUAUGUUCCCAGCAACUAUCAUGAUUAACAUUAUUGUAAAGCAGGGGGUAGAGAGUCACUCCUUUCUAAGGCAAGAGGAGUCGUUUCUUGUAGUUGUGAGGGCAUAAAAGAGAAGGGAGCAACAGAGAAAAACAAUAAUCUCCCUAAUAACAUAAGACUUAGAUCAAGUCUUCGUGGUGUCGAGCUUGUCAAGCAAAGGUGAACUUUACCUAAUAACAUGAUUAUUGUAAUAGGUAAUUUUGUUAGGACACAGCGCUGGAGGACUGAGUGUCACAUAUGCAACUCACAAAUUUCCAAGGAUGGAAAUGUAUAAUAGAGUAACUAUGUUGAGAAAAGGUAUUAUGACUGGACAAGAUAUUAAAGCUGUAAGUUAUUGCUUCUCCAUCCUUGACAUGAUCAUAAAUGAGACAUGUGUUACAUAGUUUAAAUCGAGAUUUAUGAGUAUAGUAUAACAAAUUAGUACCAUCUACGUGUUCGUGGAUUUUGUGCAUUUGCGUAUUACAUUUGUUCAUGUUUGGAUUAUGUGUGUAUUCCGGUAACAUGCAAAUUAUUUGUCCAAGACAUUGUAACGAAAGACGUCGUUUCUAGUAGUAUCAUUGUUUAUUAAUCGGAAUUGUGAAUAUUCAUAUAAUCGAGUCUAAGUUAUUUUGAAUUGAGGCAUAGUUGUUGUCGUUUAAUGCUUUCAACCUUAGUAUGAUAAUGUUAAGGAUGUUUGUUUUGUGACUUGCAGUGGGCUAACAGCCUUUGUAAAGGAGCAAUGCUGCCACUGCCCGUGCCUCUAGAGAACAACUUUAGGGACAUUACCAGAACAAUUUUCGGAGUUAUUUGCUUCUCCUCCUACAAUGCCAGCUGGCGUUAGUGACAAUAAUCGUAGUGAAAUCCGUUAAAGUUCCAUAAAAUGGUGCAAAUCCUUUCUUGAGUUUGGGGGCUAUUGAUUUGAAGUUUAAGCAAGUUUUUGUAGUGAUUUGAAAUUAAAGAAAGUUUUUGUAGUGAUAUGAAGUUCUUGUAAUCGUAAUGGUUGAAGUGAAUGAGAUGUUUCAAUUUAGUUUGUAAAACUUAUACACUUUAUGAUAUAUUUUUCUAUUAUUUCUUAAUACUAAUAUGCU